AUCGCUUCUUCGGCUUAUUAGCUAAGAUCAAAGUGUAGUAUCUGUUCUUAUCGUAUUAACCUACGGUAUACGCUCGAAGGAAUAGAA
rnacentral:snRNA from 14 species